rnacentral:rRNA from 1 species
GACGAACGCUGGCGGCGUGCUUAACACAUGCAAGUCGAACGGAAAGGCCCUGCUUUUGUGGGGUGCUCGAGUGGCGAACGGGUGAGUAACACGUGAGUAACCUGCCCUUGACUUUGGGAUAACUUCAGGAAACUGGGGCUAAUACCGGAUAGGAGCUCCUGCUGCAUGGUGGGGGUUGGAAAGUUUCGGCGGUUGGGGAUGGACUCGCGGCUUAUCAGCUUGUUGGUGGGGUAGUGGCUUACCAAGGCUUUGACGGGUAGCCGGCCUGAGAGGGUGACCGGCCACAUUGGGACUGAGAUACGGCCCAGACUCCUACGGGAGGCAGCAGUGGGGAAUAUUGCACAAUGGGCGGAAGCCUGAUGCAGCAACGCCGCGUGCGGGAUGACGGCCUUCGGGUUGUAAACCGCUUUCGCCUGUGACGAAGCGUGAGUGACGGUAAUGGGUAAAGAAGCACCGGCUAACUACGUGCCAGCAGCCGCGGUGAUACGUAGGGUGCGAGCGUUGUCCGGAUUUAUUGGGCGUAAAGGGCUCGUAGGUGGUUGAUCGCGUCGGAAGUGUAAUCUUGGGGCUUAACCCUGAGCGUGCUUUCGAUACGGGUUGACUUGAGGAAGGUAGGGGAGAAUGGAAUUCCUGGUGGAGCGGUGGAAUGCGCAGAUAUCAGGAGGAACACCAGUGGCGAAGGCGGUUCUCUGGGCCUUUCCUGACGCUGAGGGGCGAAAGCGUGGGGAGCGAACAGGCUUAGAUACCCUGGUAGUCCACGCUGUAAACGGUGGGUACUAGGUGUGGGGUCCAUUCCACGGGUUCCGUGCCGUAGCUAACGCUUUAAGUACCCCGCCUGGGGAGUACGGCCGCAAGGCUAAAACUCAAAGGAAUUGACGGGGCCCCGCACAAGCGGCGGAGCAUGCGGAUUAAUUCGAUGCAACGCGUAGAACUUUACCUGGGUUUGACAUGGAUCGGGAGUGCUCAGAGAUGGGUGUGCCUCUUUUGGGGUCGGUUCACAGGUGGUGCAUGGCUGUCGUCAGCUCGUGUCGUGAGAUGUUGGGUUAAGUCCCGCAACGAGCGCAACCCUUGUUCACUGUUGCCAGCACGUUAUGGUGGGGACUCAGUGGAGACCGCCGGGGUCAACUCGGAGGAAGGUGGGGAUGACGUCAAGUCAUCAUGCCCCUUAUGUCCAGGGCUUCACGCAUGCUACAAUGGCUGGUACAGAGAGUGGCGAGCCUGUGAGGGUGAGCGAAUCUCGGAAAGCCGGUCUCAGUUCGGAUUGGGGUCUGCAACUCGACCCCAUGAAGUCGGAGUCGCUAGUAAUCGCAGAUCAGCAACGCUGCGGUGAAUAUGUUCCCGGGGCC